UUAAAUUGAAGAGUUUGAUCAUGGCUCAGAUUGAACGCUGGCGGCAGGCCUAACACAUGCAAGUCGAACGGUAACAGGAAGCAGCUUGCUGCUUCGCUGACGAGUGGCGGACGGGUGAGUAAUGUC
rnacentral:rRNA from 12 species